UUUGCUCUGAAUCAAGGCCAGCAGUUUUCUGAAGCUUUUGGCUUCAAGCAGGAGUCUAAGUGAUAUUUUCCUGUGGUCUCUUGGCCAUUUGAGAAUGUUAGCAAUGUAAUGGUGAAUUCAUUAGAAAGAAACAGCU
ensembl:snoRNA